rnacentral:lncRNA from 1 species
CAAGUAGUGGGCAGGUGUGACUUUCAAUAUAACCUGAAAAUAAUGAUCCAGAAUACAUAUGUUGUACUUCAAGAUGUGGAUCUAUUUGACAUGACAUCAUUUAACCCAUGUGAAUAGGACCCUGAGUCAUCUAAAUCCAGUGGCAAGAAAAAAGUCAGAAGAACUGAAGAUGGUUUGGGAUGCAGUGGAUGAUUUUUGCAUCUUUGAUGUCUGAUCAAGCUCCAAGUGCUCCACAGCACCUGCUUCAGCUGCCUUCAUGGCCAUUGGAAUAAAUUGUUCUCGCCUGUCCAUUCUGCCAGGGGAAGUCUUUAUAAACUUGGGGUAGACAUUCCCCAAUUCACCAAUAGAUUUUUUCUCUCCUUUUUCCCUACCCCUUCCCGAGAUGGCAAAUAAUCCAAUAUAUGUUAAACCUGGACAAUCCUGCAAUUCUUCUAUUCAUAUUUCC